rnacentral:rRNA from 1 species
AGCGAACGCUGGCGGCGUGCUUAACACAUGCAAGUCGAGCGGUAAGGCCCUUUCGGGGGUACACGAGCGGCGAACGGGUGAGUAACACGUGGGUGACCUGCCCUCAGCUCUGGGAUAAGCCUGGGAAACUGGGUCUAAUACCGGAUAUGACUCCAUGACGCAUGUUGUGGGGUGGAAAGCCUUGUGCGGCUGAGGAUGGGCCCGCGGCCUAUCAGCUUGUUGGUGGGGUGAUGGCCUACCAAGGCGACGACGGGUAGCCGGCCUGAGAGGGCGACCGGCCACACUGGGACUGAGACACGGCCCAGACUCCUACGGGAGGCAGCAGUGGGGAAUCUUGCGCAAUGGGCGAAAGCCUGACGCAGCGACGCCGCGUGAGGGAUGACGGCCUGG